AGGGAAGGCUGCUAGGAGGAGGUGAGAUUUGGGCUUGGUGUUGAAAGGGGAGGUCAGGGUUGAGUAAGCUGAGGGCAGAGACUAGGGCGGGGAGGAAGAAGGUAGACAAGGAGGCUGGGAGAUAAGGAGCUGCUAGGGGAAAGACAAACCCAGUUGGCCCAGAAAAAAUGCCAAGUGUAAGCUGAUACCUGGCCUGGUUUGAGAAGCCAGUUACUUCAGUGUCUCCAUCCUGAGUGAGGUGAGCGCUCUCAGCAGUCAGCAGGGACCCGGACUCCCUCUGUGCCGAUAACCCAGGUAGGGGGCCCUGCUCCCCACCCCUGAGAAAGAUGCUGCAGUAACUGAUUCUAAAAAUGCCCACAACCCUCCAGGCCUCCAGGUACCCACACCCUUCCCGUGACUCUGCAGCUCCUCUGGUGAAGAGGAGAAUCUAUCUCCCUUCCUGUUGAAUCUGGACUAACCCUGUGACUUGCUUUGGCCAAAAGAAUAUAGCAGAUAUGACAGGGACAGACAGGCCAUGGCUGAGAGCCGUGGGAAGGCUGGGAGAAGACAUUACAGGCGGAGGGGAGAGCCCGUGCAAAGGCCCUGAGGUGGCGUGUGUCGGAUAAGUUCAAGGGGUGGGGUGAGCCAGGUGGAGGGCAGCAGGAAAUGUGGCUGCAGAGAAAGCGGGUGGGGUCAGACCAUGUAGAGCCUUGUAGGUUGUCAACAGGACUUUGACUUUGACUCCGAUGGAGAUUGAAACCCAUUGGAGGCCCACAUCAUCAGACAGAUGUUUGAGAAGCUCACUCUACUGGGUUUAGAAGAGUCUCAAGGGGUGAAGGUGAGAACAGAGACCAGUCAGGAAGCUCUGCAGGAAUCCAGUGUGAUGGGAAGCACAACUGGAGCUGUGAACAAGGAUGGGGUGGAGUUGGUUGUUCAGGACAGUGGAAGGACAGCCCCGCAGGUCCCCCCAGAUGGACGCCGAAGAGAAAAGCAAAAGACACGUUCAAGAAGGCUCGCAGCAGCACGAAUCCCGUUCCCCCAAAGUGGAAACCACCUCAGUGUCCAUCAACAGUAAAAUGAUAAAUAAACUCAAUCAAUAGUAAUCAGUGAUCAUAAUAAAUAUACGAACAAAUAAAUGCCGUCUG